rnacentral:miRNA from 1 species
CUUUGCGUGGCGCCUCGUUCUU